GGGAGCGCCGUCUGUGCCUCGCUGCCUGGAGUUUAUGCCCUGCCAUUAAUCCUUAAGGUCUGAUUCCAGCAAGCCCUCCAGACAUCACCAAAGCUGAGAAAAUCCUCUCGCCACCGUUUCUCUUCAAAAAGUCUAAGAAAGCUGAAAGCCCAACAGAGAUUAGCCCUGAGCUAACUACUGCCAGUCCACCUCUUUUUUGCUGAGGAAGCCUGGCCCAGAGCUAACAUCAGUGCCCAUCUUCCUCUACUUUAUACGUGGGACACCUACCACAGCAUGGCGUGCCAAGUGGUGCCAUGUCUGCACCUGGGAUCCAAACCGGUGAACCCCAGGCCACCGAGAAGUGGAACGUGUGAACUUAACUGCUGUGCCACCGGGCCAGCCCCUCAUGUAUUUCUUGAUUUUUCAUAGUGCCAAGAACCAGGUCAGGUAUAUAGAAGGCACUAGAUAAAUAGCUGUUGAAUGAAUUAGUGAGUAUUUUUCUGACUUGCAUGAGUGGUUGCACAAUGAGCAUAUAUUACUUCUAUCAUCAUUGAAGGAUAGGGAGAGCAAUAAAUGUUAAUGUAAAAAAGUAAGCUGUAGUCUGAUGAAAAUUCAUAUCCUUACAUGUUUUUACUAGAAAAUAAACAACAAUAUCAACAACCCACAGAAGUUUGAAUAUUGUAUAAGUGACCAAACGUCGAACAGGGCUUAUGCUGUAGCGUCCGUUUAGGAGGAGACACGGUCAAGUCCAUGGACCCUCCCCCAGCCAUGAGGAGUCUCUAUGAGCACGUGGAAUCUUCCUCAGAGUCAACGUGGAACCCUGAGCACCCCUGAGAACCUGGACCACCUCUGGGCUGAUCUGGCUGGCAGUGGGGGUGGGGGGCUAGAUUCUAAACUGGGUAAGCGUUUGGGACUUAGAUAUUCAACUGAACUAGACUUUUAUUUUUAAGGAAGAUUAUCCCUGAGCUAACAUCUGCUGCCAAUCCUCCUCUUUUUGCUGAGGAAGACUGGCCCUGAGCUAACAUCCGUGCCCAUCUUCCUCUACUUUACACGUGGGACUCCUACCACAGCAUGGCUUGCCAAGCAGUGCCACGUCCACACCCAGGAUCUGAACCGGCGAACCCUGGGCUGGCACACUUAACCGCUGUGCUACUGGGCCGGCCCUGAACUAGACUUUUUAUUAUAGAAUAUGGGAUUAUUUAUUAAUACCCAAAAGUAACCAGAAAGCUAUGGAAUCUGCCUGUGGUUUCAUGGGAAGAACACGAGUUGCUGGACGGCUGUUCUGAGCCUCGGCUUGCAUCUUCCUGAGGCCGUUCAUCAAACGAACGGAUUCCACUUGUUAAGUGAUAAGAACUGCUGCGUCCUCGAAGGAGCCUUGUUGGCUCCUGUGUCCCUGCUUCCUACUAGCCCACUGCCCGGUGCAGUCCGGUUGCUGCUCCUUACAUGCCCUAGGCGGUCGGCAAAUGUUUGCGGACGGAAUGAAAGUGGAUCCUCGGAUCUGCUGCACUCGGGACAUUUGGUGAAGGGCAGAGGAGGGAGAAAGCAGGACCAAGAGGACGCAUGCAUGUGUGACGACAGCAUGGGGGAGGCAAUGGUCGCGUGCAUUGGUGGGAG
ensembl:lncRNA